rnacentral:lncRNA from 10 species
UCUGCCUACCUCAACACCCCUAAGGGGGAGGGGGAGAAUUUGUGCUUUGUCCUCUGGACCCGGGUCUAUGGAUCUAUGUGUGAGUGGACAGGGGUGACCCCAUGAUCACUCCCCCAUGUGUAAGCUCCAGAGCAAGCUGUGGCCUCUUCUUUGGACAGACAAUGUCCUGAGUGGUUAACUCUGGAAACCAGUGUGCCUGGGUAUCAAAAUGAGAGCCUGGACAUCUUAUCCAUACAUCUCACACUCCUGCUUUGUAAAAUCAUUGGGAAGGGGGUUGUUCCCUUCCCACCUCCAUCUGCAGCUGGGGCAUGACAGAGCAUCCCCCAGUCGUGGUACUCAUGAGGAAGUUCUUAUCACUGUCUCCUUCCUAUUCAGCUGGGGGCAGAUUCACUUGCUAGGAGGAGCAUCUGUCAGGAAGCAGGCAGGAACCAGGCGGCACACUCGACAGUAAUGUGCUCAUCACCUGUCCCACAGGAUUACAAAGGCCAUUUCUGGGCUCCUGGCUGCCUCGCUCAUUUACCCCAAGACUUCUGAUACUCUCCAAAUCUUCUUCAGGUGUCUCCUCCAUGCAGAUGGGAAGGCUGGUAGGAGGUUUCUGAGUCCUAUAGCCCCAUCUCAGGCCCCUCCGGGUGCAAACUAGGUCACAUCUCUCUUUCCUUGAGGCCCCAGUGGCUUCCCAUAUUCCUGAGACUAAAACUCAAACUCUUUACCCUGACCUACAAGUAGAGUGACCGUCAUCCCAACAAUAUUAUUAGGAGAGCGACCUUUCAGUUUCAAUGCAUUCUAGUCUGGAUGAUAAAUUACAUGGUCACCUUAUCACACAGCAGGCUUUGUGUGUCCCCAGCCUCCUCUCCUCCAGCUGGCUCUGCUUACCUGCCUUGCUCCAGCCAGGCAGAGAAGUUCCCUGAAGCAGCCGCUCUCGCCCACCACAUCACCCUCAUGCACACAUUACCUCCACCUGGAACAUUCUACCCCUGUUUCUUCCCCUGCCUAAUUUCUACUCAGCUCUCAGGCCUGAUUUAGAUGUUCCUUUUUUCAGAGGAGUCCUUCAUGGCCCAUCAACCUUAAGUUGGGUCCUCCCUCUCUCCUGUCAUACAAAUGCUUAUUUCUCAUAGUGCCAGAAUCAUCAGUUGUAUCUGUUUCCCCCACUAGAUUGUAAGCACCAUGAAGGCAGAGGUCAUUGUAUCUCCAGAACCUAGCAUGGGGCUGUUGCCCCAUAACCGUAUGUUUUAUGAAUGAAUAAAUGGAUGAAUGAAAACACAGUGUUUCCCAUAAAUGCACACACACACACACACACACACACACACGCAUACACACCCCUCCAAGAUACCAAGCCCACCACAAUCAUCUCCAGGGAGAUGUAAUUCUGGCACAAUCUGAGCUUCCCAGCAGCAAAACACGCCACUCUGAGUUGCUUACCCCAUGAAGGGUUCAAACAAGGGCCAUCUGUCAGGAAAGGAGACACAUGGACUGAGGAAUAUUGCCUUGCAGGCUUCUGAACCAUGAUUGAUUCUCAUCCUCCCUCACACAGGACAGCAGCCAGAUUACCUCCAACUCCAGACCACCACAUUCAACACCACAGUGAACAUCUCUGUAUGUGUCCCAUUAUGGACUCAUGUGAAAAUUCCCCUGGAAUAGAGAUGUCCCAGGUAGCUGAAUUGAUGGGCCAUUGGGGAUGUAUAUUCUUAAUUGAAUUAAUCCCCCUUUUUUCUUUCUUUUUUUUUACUUUUGGCUUGUACAAGUUCUAGAAUUCUUGGACUGAUUAUCCAUCUUGACAAAGGAGGCCUUGAAUCAAAUUUAAUCUGGUUUAGUGCACUUAUCAAAGAGACAUCGGAGAGAUCCCUUGUGCCUUCUGCCAUGUGAGUUAUAGUGAGAAGACAGCCAUCUACUAGGAAUCAGACCGUCAUCAGACACCAAAUCUGCCAGCACCUUGAUCUUAGAUUUCCCAGACUCCAGAACUGUUAGAAAUAAAUUUCUGUUGUUUAUAAGCCACCCAGUCUAUGGUAUUUUGUUAUAGCAGCCCGAAAAGACUAAGACAUAUGCCAAGCACCAUAGGAAAUGUGCUACCUGUUAUAGACACAUCUUCUAUGUGCCAUUAUCCACCCUUUAAAUAAAGGCCUUAGAAUGAGCUGGGCAAUGGAGGUGCGAAAUGUCAACCUUUGCCUACUCCUUGGCAUAGGGAAGGGGAG